rnacentral:rRNA from 1 species
UUAAAUGUUUUAAACUCACAAAUUAAGGCCGAAACUAAAAGUAAACUUACUUAAUAAAUUUUAAAAUUUAUAUAAUUUUUAAUUGGAAAUUAAACGUACUUAAUACUAACAUUAUAUUAAAUAUUUUAUUUACACUUAAAUAAUUAAAAAUUAAAAUCAUUUUUAAAAUACAAAUUUACUUUUUUAAAAAAAAUAAAUAAUAUAUAGUACUAAAUCUAAAUUAAUAUAAAUUGAACUUAAAAGGUCUAUUAUAUUAUAAAAAGUAAUAAUUUUAUUUAGUACCUUUAGCAUAAUGGUUUUACAAAAAAUUAAAAAUUUAUUUCCCGAAAUUAAUUGAUCUAAAAUAAAUAAAUUUUAUUGUAACAAAAAUACUAAUAAAUUUAUUUUAGAGAUGAAACGUCUUCGUAAUUAAUGUUAUCUGGAUUUUUUAAAAAAAUUUUAGAUUUUAAAAAAUUUAAUAUUUUUGGAUAAGCAUAAAUAUCAUAGUAGAUAUUAUAAAAUAUAUAAUAUAUAUAUUUAUAAAUAUAUUUACUAAAACCACACUAGCUUAUUAAUAAAACUCAUAAAAAAUUAUUUUUUUAAAAAUAAUGUGAAAAUUAAUAUAAUUAUUUUAUAACUUAUAAAAAUUAUAUUUUUUAAAAAGGAAUUCAGCAAAAAUUAAUUUCAUCUGUUUAACAAAAACAUUGCUUUUUGUAAAUAUAAAAAGUAUCACCUGCCCAAUGAUAUCAUUAAAUGGCCGCGGUAUUUUAACCGUGCAAAGGUAGCAUAAUCACUUGCUUUAUAAAUUAAAGCUUGUAUGAAUGGUAAAAUGAAAAUUUCACUGUCUCUUUAAAAAUUUUAAAAUUUAAUUUGUCAGUGAAGAAGCUUACAUUUUUUUAUAAGACGAGAAGACCCUAAUGAGUUUAAUAUAUAAUAAUUUUAAUAAAAAUAUAUAUUUAAUUGGGGUAAUUUAAGAAAAUAUUUUCUUAAAAAAGAAUUAACUAUUAGUCCCAUUAUUAAUGAUUAUUAGUAAAAAUUACCAUAGGGAUAACAGCAUAAUCCUUUUUAAGAGUACUUAUCGACAAAAUGGGUUGUGACCUCGAUGUUGGAUUAAGAGAAUUCUAUAAUGUAGUAAUUAUAAAAAUAAGUCUGUUCGACUUUUAAAAUCUUACAUGAUCUGAGUUCAAAUCGGCUUAAGCCAGAUUGGUUUCUAUCUAUAAAAAUAACAAUUAUAUAUUAGUACGAAAGGACCAUAUAUUUUAAAUGAUUUAAAUUAUAAUGAUGUCAGAAUAUGUAAUGAAUUUAGGUUU